rnacentral:rRNA from 1 species
GACGAACGCUGGCGGCGUGCUUAACACAUGCAAGUCGAGCGGUAAGGCCCUUCGGGGUACACGAGCGGCGAACGGGUGAGUAACACGUGAGCAAUCUGCCCUUCACUCUGGGAUAACCCCCGGAAACGGGAGCUAAUACCGGAUAUGACCACUACACGCAUGUGUUGGUGGUGGAAAGUUCUGGCGGUGGAGGAUGAGCUCGCGGCCUAUCAGCUUGUUGGUGGGGUAAUGGCCCACCAAGGCUUCGACGGGUAGCCGGCCUGAGAGGGUGACCGGCCACACUGGGACUGAGACACGGCCCAGACUCCUACGGGAGGCAGCAGUGGGGAAUAUUGGACAAUGGGCGAAAGCCUGAUCCAGCAACGCCGCGUGAGGGAUGACGGCCUUCGGGUUGUAAACCUCUUUCAGCGCAGACGAAGCGAGAGUGACGGUAUGCGCAGAAGAAGCACCGGCCAACUACGUGCCAGCCGCCGCAGUAAAAC